GUUUGAUCAUGGCUCAGAACGAACGCUGGCGGCAUGCCUAACACAUGCAAGUCGAACGGGAUCCGGACUUCGGUUCGGUGAGAGUGGCGGACGGGUGAGUAACGCGUGGGAACCUGCCCAGUGGUGGGGGAUAACUGCGGGAAACUGCAGCUAAUACCGCAUGAGCCCGAGAGGGGAAAGAUUUAUCGCCAUUGGAGGGGCCCGCGUUCGAUUAGGUAGUUGGUGAGGUAAUGGCUCACCAAGCCGACGAUCGAUAGCUGGUCUGAGAGGAUGAUCAGCCACACUGGGACUGAGAUACGGCCCAGACUCCUACGGGAGGCAGCAGUGGGGAAUAUUGGACAAUGGGGGCAACCCUGAUCCAGCAAUGCCGCGUGAGUGAUGAAGGCCUUCGGGUUGUAAAGCUCUUUUGCCAGGACGAUGAUGACGGUACCUGGAGAAUAAGCCCCGGCUAACUUCCUGCCAGCAGCCGCGGUAAUACGAAGGGGGCAAGCGUUGUUCGGAAUUACUGGGCGU
rnacentral:rRNA from 1 species